GGGCCUGUAGCUCAGUUGGUCAGAGCACGCGACUCAUAAUCGCUUGGUCGUGGGUUCGAUCCCCACCGGGCCCA
rnacentral:tRNA from 1 species